UACGGGGGGGGCAAGCGUUGUUCGGAAUUACUGGGCGUAAAGGGUUUGUAGGUGGCCGGCUAAGUCAGACGUGAAAUCCCUCAGCUUAACUGGGGAACUGCGUCUGAAACUGAUCGGCUCGAGUGCAGGAGAGGAACGCGGAAUUCCAGGUGUAGCGGUGAAAUGCGUAGAUAUCUGGAGGAACAUCAGUGGCGAAGGCGGCCCUCUGGUCCAGUACUGACACUCAAGUGCGAAAGCGUGGGGAGCAAACAGG
rnacentral:rRNA from 1 species